rnacentral:rRNA from 1 species
UGGGGAAUCUUGGACAAUGGGGGCAACCCUGAUCCAGCGAUGCCGCGUGAGCGAAGAAGGCCUUAGGGUUGUAAAGCUCUUUCGCCCGCGACGAUGAUGACGGUAGCGGGAGAAGAAGCCCCGGCUAACUCCGUGCCAGCAGCCGCGGUAAUACGGAGGGGGCUAGCGUUGUCCGGAAUUACUGGGCGUAAAGCGCGCGUAGGCGGUCCACCAAGUCGGGGGUGAAAGCCCGGGGCUCGACCCCGGAAUGUCCUCCGAGACUGUUGGACUGGAGUUCGGGAGAGGAGAGCGGAAUUCCCAGUGUAGAGGUGAAAUUCGUAGAUAUUGGGAAGAACACCGGUGGCGAAGGCGGCUCUCUGGCCCGCAACUGACGCUGAGGCGCGAAAGCGUGGGGAGCAAACA